UUGCGAUUUUCUGGGCCUCUAUCUCCUAGACACUUUGAGAUUGAAGCUUGAAAUUUUUAUAGGACCAUGAAGAAAUAAAGCUUCAUAACUUAUACAAAUUUCAUGUUACUAGCUUAAUCGGAAGCGAAGUUAUGAAAGUGGCAAAUAAGAUCGACGGAAGUCAAAAAUCACAUUGUUGUGAAAAGUUCCACAACAUUCAGAAUUUGCUUUUUCGUUAUAGUCACCAAAGUAUGUGGGACUCUUUUAGAGAAUUCAUACCUCACGCAGAGCAUACUGCGAGUCGAUUCUUAAUCCCGGACCCGCAGGGUUUGAGCCACUCGACUGUCCUGCUGACCGAUCCAAAAGGAAUUUCUUCACUUAGGAGUGUAUGGAUUAAUCCGUCCAUUACUAAGAGCAUAACCGACACUGCAGGAUCUCUAUAGAAAGUCAAACAAGGCUCGAGAACACCAAAUUUCAUCCAGUUUCAUUCACAGUUCGAUUAUGGAUUAUCGAAACCCGACUCAGAAUGUGCCUUAGAGACACCGGCAUACGACAGCACACGCACCAGCCAUGAGCAGGAAUACUUGGCAAAAUGUCAUCCCACUGAGAACCUCUUAAACCUGGAUUCCACAUCGCUAGAAACAACAAACGGACAACAGAAACAGAACAAUAUGCUGUUGUUCGUCUUCUGAACUAUUUUGUUUCCGUUAUAGUAAAAAUUCGGGACAGUUUUAUAUAUAUCAGCGGCCUCAUGCGGUUGUUUAGAAAGUUAAACAAAAAUGGACGACGACACAGUGAUUUUAGCAUAGUUAUUGUUUUUGAC
rnacentral:lncRNA from 1 species